rnacentral:rRNA from 1 species
AAUGAACGUUAGCGGCGCGCCUGAUGCAUGCAAGUCGAACGGUUUGACUGUUCGCAAGGAUAGUCAAAUAGUGGCGAACGGCUGAGUAACGCGUAAGUACCGGCCUUCAAGUGUGGAAUAACCUGCCGAAAGGCAAGCUAAUACCGCAUGUGCUGAUAACAAAUAGUUUUCAGUAAAGCUUUCGAGCGCUUGGAGAAGGGCUUGCGUCUGAUUAGCUAGUUGGUGGGGUAACGGCCCACCAAGGCGAUGAUCAGUAGCUGGUCUUAGAGGACGACCAGCCAGACAGGGACUGAGACACGGCCCUGACUCCUACGGGUGGCAG